CCUUUUCUGAUAUUCAAUCUAGAUUCCAAGGGUCAGUGAUGGCCCACAGGCACCUGGUAUGCAGGAGAAUUCUAGAAGGGAAACAGAACAAAUGGAACAGAAUCUGAAAUUAACACCGUGCUUCCUUCAUGCUCGGUCUCAACAAUAGUAAAUUUGAUCUAGGCAUACGCUGUUAGCCAACGGUAAAUUUCAGCAAUCCAAAAGCUUCAAAACAAGACUUCAAGAUUUAAGCAGCUGCUGUUCGGGACAGAUAAAAUAGAUUAUCAGCCCAGUUCUGACUUCAGAUGAUUCUCAGUAGCAAUGCAGUGUUCAAAAUGGAAGAACUGUCGCUGGAGCACUCUAUGACUUUCACCUCAUCCUACUGGACCCUAAUCAGAUGGUCUUCAGAGGAAGGCAGGAGUAAUUUCUUCCAGCGGUAGUUGAGCCAAACCAAGUAGCACUAGUAAAGUGAACCUUCAAGAGACUGAAGAGAAAAGAAGGUGUUUGAAAACAGAACACUUUAUCACCUGAAACCUUAGUAAAUCCUCAGCUAAAGAAGCAUGAUCUGAAGUGAUGAGAAAGUGACAUAUCUGUUGUGCACACACUAGUCCCCGCAGUUUGAGGAACCAAACUGUCAUCACAGUUUCUUGCUUUCAUUCCUGCAUGCUGAUUUGAAGGGGUGAUUCUUGAACGUUUGUCCACCUGCCUAUCUAUAUGUGAAUAUUAUAAGAUACACCUCGUCAUUUUUUACAUCUCUUAAAUUUAAUUAAAUGCUCUCAGAACACCAGGAGAUAACACAUGCAUGUCAUUUCUCCUGAAAUGUUGGCUAGCUUUUCGUAACAACAUGUGUGGCUACAGUAGGUAUUAGCAACUGCCAGCCUGACACCUGCACUAAGCAACAGACUCACCCUAAUGUAAUUUAAUAAGAUGUCUUUUGUUAUUAAACCAAGAAUUGUAUGUUGCCAGCUGAGGUGGAAAAUAGGUCCCAGAGGUUGUUCUCCCUUAUUCCAUCUGCAGUUAUUUUUAGGGGGCUUUAAUAUUUAAAAGUCUAUUACUAAUUUCAGCAUUGCCCACACAAACCUGCUUUGUAGUUCUAUUGCCAAAUUAUCCCUUGAAGGCAAGUGCUGUAAAUAAUUUCUCAGUUCUGUUCCCAGACACUUGCCAAGGUCAUUAUCUAGCUUUCCCAGAAUUCCUCUAUUCUGACUUUGAUUGUGAGUGGUAACUAAGAAACAGUUAUGAGAUGCAAUCACAAGCUGUGGCAGUCAUAUCAAAAGCUGAAGAUGGUCCCAGAGCACUCUAAUGAAGCCAGUGGCUCAGCUGCUCUUGCUUUCUUAAUACUUCAUUUAUCUUUCGAUUUGGUCAACCAACAGAGCAGCAACAAGAGCAAACAUAAAACAGGAGCUAUGAAGCAGACAUGACAGCCAGAGAGAAAGGAGGCUCCAGAGAACCAGCUGGCUGCAGCAGAUUAUAAAAUUUCAACAUUUGAGUUCUAACUGGCAGUAAUUUGUUCUUGUGUUCCUAUACUUUGCUUCUCUUAUCUCUGGUACUGUCAAAAGUUUGUCAUCAUUUUUCAAAAUGUAAGUAAUUAUUCCAUAUAAAUUUUUCCUUCAGCUGAGGCAUGAGUUUCAGGAUCAGAAGAGCUGCAAUGCAAAGCUGUCCUUAUUCUAUAUGCAGCUCCAUGAUGAAACAAAAACAAAAAGAAAAACAAAAACCCCACUUGUAGAAAAGUCAUAUCACAAAUGACAUAUUUGUGAAAGUCCCAGUUUAUGCAUGUUAAACUUAGGACAAGAAAGGUAAAGUAGAUAUAUAAAUACAGAUACAUAAAGUUUUACAUUCGAGUCUAACCUUAAAUGUCCAUGUGCAGUUCAGGUCCGUAAGUUUAGGAAGCACAGAAUAAGAUAUGACUGUAGUUAUUCAAGUUCACGUAGCAAAUAUAUGGCAGAGUCCUUUGCAGAAUUCAGCUUUCAGCCCCAUGUCUUGGCAUCAUUCAGCCCCUCUGACUUUGAAUAUUACUGUAAUUUCUAACUCUAGGCAUUUGGCCUCUACAGAUUGACAGGCUGAAAAUUAAAAUGCUUUACAAGCGCCUGACUUUUCAGGGUGAGAUCUGGUCCCAGUAGAGAGAAAAGAACGCUUGCGACAUUUGUAACUGUUCACUUUAAGGAGAGACUGAAAAAGGACAGAAAUAUAAAAGGGAGAGAGAGAAAGAGAGCAAAAAAGCAAAUGAAAGGAAGAGGAGAGAGAGAGGAAGAGGGAAAAGGAAAAAGGAAGCGAAGGGAGGAGAAGGAAAGGAAACGGAAGAGAAGAGAUAGUAGGAAAGAAAGAAAAAGAGAAAGAAUAAGAGAAAAAAAGAAAUGUCAGGCUGCUGACUUUGAAAACUUCAACAUUCACAAAAAUGCAUUACUUUUUCCUACCUUUUUAGUGAAAAAAUAAUAUAUAUAGCAUUCUAGUCAUAGGAUAGUUUAGAUUCAAAAGCUAGUAAACAGGGUUUCUCUGCUAGUAAACAGGGUUAGGCAUUAUUUCUAGGAGCUGGAACUUGAUUGUUCAUAUUGCUACAUUUUUACAGUAGUUUCUCACACAGUUUGGGCCAACCAGCAUACUUCUAAACAAUCUCCGGACGUAGAGGUUCACCAGGGUUCAGGUAGCAUUCCCCCUCUGAAUAAGCAACUUGCAUAAGACCAUCCUCUUUUAGGAGGUGAGAGAGUUUAAUAGCAUGGAAGCAGUUUUUCUAUGCCUGUUGACUUCAGUGCUAGAAAACAGUCCUGGCUUCUUUUAAUUUCUUUGUAUAGACACAACAAUGGCUUUAUUUGAAAAAUAGGAUGAAAUUACAUAAAUAAAGGAGAAGGAAUAAACUGUAUUCAGUCUUAA